GAAGGGAGGUUCAGUGAUCUAAGCAGUCAGUGGGUGCGAGGUGUGGUCAGCUGCGAGGGGGUGAAAAGUGACAGCUGGUGAGUCGGCGAGCUGGCCAAUAUGUUUAUGUAUUUUCUCCACCGAUGGUUCCUAGCGUAUCCAUAGCGAUGUUUGUGUUAUUGAAAAUUGUUGCGUGUGACUCAAUAGUGAAGAUGCCAUCAUUUUGUGCAGUGAAGUAUUGCGGGAAUACGAUUGCGAACACAAAAACCCGUGGAAUUGUGUUCCAUCGAUUUCCAAAAGAUGGAGAGCGACGCCAAUCGUGGGUCGCGUUCUGUGGCCAACAUGAUGGUUGGUCACCACAGCAGAACCAGGCCAUUUGUUCGAGCCACUUCACCAGCAGCAGCUACGACGAUGGGUUUCGUUAUCGGCAUGAAACUAUAGUAGCCAAAAUGCGACAUCAAUUGCUUCCAAAAGCCAUUCCCACGUUGAAGCAAACGAAUAACCCAAGUUGUAGAGAAGCAAACGGUAUCGUAGGUAAGUAUAAAUCA